CUACGGGUUGCACCAGUGAGGAAUAUUGCACAAUGGGGGGAACCCUGAUGCAGCAACGCCGCGUGGAGGAUGACGCAUUUCGGUGUGUAAACUCCUUUUAUAUGUCAAGAAAAUGACGGUAGCAUAUGAAUAAGCACCGGCUAACUCCGUGCCAGCAGCCGCGGUAAUACGGAGGGUGCAAGCGUUACUCGGAAUCACUGGGCGUAAAGGGCGCGUAGGCGGGUUGGAAAGUCAGGUGUGAAAUCCUACAGCUUAACUGUAGAACUGCACUUGAAACUUCUAAUCUAGAGUAUGGGAGGGGGAGAUGGAAUUAGUGGUGUAGGGGUAACAUCCGUAGAUAUCACUAGGAAUACCUAAAGCGAAGGCGAUCUUCUGGAACAUUACUGACGCUAAGGCGUGAAAGCGUGGGGAGCAAACAGGAUUAGAUACCCGGGUAGUC
rnacentral:rRNA from 1 species